AGUGGAAUGAGCGGCGGACGGGUGAGUAACACGUAAGGAACCUGCCUCAAGGAUUGGGAUAACUCCGAGAAAUCGGAGCUAAUACCGGAUAGUUCAUCGGACCGCAUGGUCCGUUGAUGAAAGGCGCUUCGGCGUCACCUUGAGAUGGCCUUGCGGUGCAUUAGCUAGUUGGUGGGGUAACGGCCCACCAAGGCGACGAUGCAUAGCCGACCUGAGAGGGUGAUCGG
rnacentral:rRNA from 1 species